rnacentral:rRNA from 1 species
UACGAAGGGGACUAGCGUUGUUCGGAAUCACUGGGCGUAAAGCGCACGUAGGCGGAUAUGUCAGUCAGGGGUGAAAUCCCGGGGCUCAACCCCGGAACUGCCCUUGAAACUGGAGAGCUAGAAUCUUGGAGAGGCGAGUGGAAUUCCGAGUGUAGAGGUGAAAUUCGUAGAUAUUCGGAAGAACACCAGUGGCGAAGGCGACUCGCUGGACAAGUAUUGACGCUGAGGUGCGAAAGCGUGGGGAGCAAACAGG